rnacentral:rRNA from 1 species
AAAGGAAGAUUAAUACCCCCAUAAGAUUGUAGUCUCGCAUGGGACAGCAAUUAAAGGAGUAAUUCGCUAUAGGAUGGACCCGCGGCGCAUUAGCUAGUUGGUGAGGUAACGGCUCACCAAGGCGACGAUGCGUAGCCGACCUGAGAGGGUGAUCGGCCACAUUGGGACUGAGACACGGCCCAGACUCCUACGGGAGGCAGCAGUGGGGAAUAUUGCACAAUGGGGGAAACCCUGAUGCAGCAACGCCGCGUGAGUGAUGACGGUCUUCGGAUUGUAAAGCUCUGUCUUCAGGGACGAUAAUGACGGUACCUGAGGAGGAAGCCACGGCUAACUACGUGC